CCUACGGGUGGCAGCAGUGGGGAAUAUUGGACUAUGGGGGCAACCCUGAUCCAGCCAUGCCGCGUGUGUGAAGAAGGCCCUCGGGUUGUAAAGCACUUUCAGUGAGGAAGAACGCCUGGUGGUUAAUACCCAUCAGGAAAGACAUCACUCACAGAAGAAGCACCGGCUAACUCCGUGCCAGCAGCCGCGGUAAUACGGAGGGUGCGAGCGUUAAUCGGAAUUACUGGGCGUAAAGCGCGCGUAGGUGGCUUGAUAAGCCGGUUGUGAAAGCCCCGGGCUCAACCUGGGAACGGCAUCCGGAACUGUCAAGCUAGAGUGCAGGAGAGGAAGGUAGAAUUCCCGGUGUAGCGGUGAAAUGCGUAGAGAUCGGGAGGAAUACCAGUGGCGAAGGCGGCCUUCUGGACUGACACUGACACUGAGGUGCGAAAGCGUGGGUAGCAAACAGGAUUAGAUACCCCGGUAGUC
rnacentral:rRNA from 1 species